rnacentral:rRNA from 1 species
UCAAACUAAAGAUGGCGACCGGCGCACGGGUGAGUAACACGUAUCCAACCUGCCGAUAACUCGGGGAUAGCCUUUCGAAAGGAAGAUUAAUAUCCGAUAGUAUAUUAAAACCGCAUGGUUUUACUAUUAAAGAAUUUCGGUUAUCGAUGGGGAUGCGUUCCAUUAGUUUGUUGGCGGGGUAACGGCCCACCAAGACUACGAUGGAUAGGGGUUCUGAGAGGAAGGUCCCCCACAUUGGAACUGAGACACGGUCCAA